rnacentral:misc_RNA from 1 species
UCCGAGUUGACCCCGGCAGUCUCCUGCGAGUCCCCGCCAUUACGCGCUGGCAACACAAGACAAGGGUUGCGCUCGUUGCGGGACUUAACCCAACAUCUCACGACACGAGCUGACGACAGCCAUGCACCGCCUGUGAUGGUGUCCCGAAGGAAAGGUGUGUUUCCACACCGGUCACCAACAUGUCAAGCCCAGGUAAGGUUCUUCGCGUUGCGUCGAAUUAAACCACAUGCUCCGCUGCUUGUGCGGGUCCCCGUCAAUUCCUUUGAGUUUUAGCCUUGCGGCCGUACUCCCCAGGCGGGGUGCUUAAUGCGUUAGCUCCGGCACGGAGAGGGUUGAAGACCUCCCCACACCUAGCACCCAACGUUUACGGCUGGGACUAC